AUUGAACGCUGGCGGCAUGCUUUACACAUGCAAGUCGAACGGCAGCGCGGGCUUCGGCCUGGCGGCGAGUGGCGAACGGGUGAGUAAUGCAUCGGAACGUGCCCAGUAGUGGGGGAUAGCCCGGCGAAAGCCGGAUUAAUACCGCAUACGACCUGAGGGUGAAAGCGGGGGACCGAAAGGCCUCGCGCUAUUGGAGCGGCCGAUGUCGGAUUAGCUAGUUGGUGGGGUAAAGGCUUACCAAAGCGACGAUCCGUAGCUGGUCUGAGAGGACGACCAGCCACACUGGGACUGAGACACGGCCCAGACUCCUACGGGAGGCAGCAGUGGGGAAUUUUGGACAAUGGGGGCAACCCUGAUCCAGCCAUGCCGCGUGCGGGAAGAAGGCCUUCGGGUUGUAAACCGCUUUUGUUCGGGAAGAAAUCCUCUGGGCUAAUACCCCGGGGGGAUGACGGUACCGGAAGAAUAAGCACCGGCUAACUACGUG
rnacentral:rRNA from 1 species